CAGAAACUACAAAGGAAUUGACGGGGCCGCACAAGCGGUGGAGUAUGUGGUUUAAUUCGAUGCAACGCGAAGAACCUUACCUGGUCUUGACAUCCCGGAGACCCUUAGGAACUAGGGGUGCUUCCAUCUGGAAGAAUCUGGAGACAGGUGCUGCAUGGCUGUCGUCAGCUCGUGUCGUGAGAUGUUGGGUUAAGUCCCGCAACGAGCGCAACCCUUGCCUUUAGUUGCCAGCAGUUCGGCUGGGCACUCUGAAGGGACUGCCGGUGUUAAACCGGAGGAAGGUGGGGAUGACGUCAAGUCCUCAUGGCCUUUAUGACCAGGGCUACACACGUACUACAAUGGCCGAUACAAAGGGCAGCGACACUGCGAGGUGAAGCCAAUCCCGUAAAAUCGGUCUCAGUCCGGAUUGGAGUCUGCAACUCGACUCCAUGAAGUUGGAAUCGCUAGUAAUCGUGGAUCAGCAUGCCACGGUGAAUACGUUCCCGGGCCUU
rnacentral:rRNA from 1 species